rnacentral:rRNA from 1 species
CACAUGACUCUCGGCAACGGAUAUCUCGGCUCUCGCAUCGAUGAAGAACGUAGCAAAAUGCGAUACCUGGUGUGAAUUGCAGAAUCCCGUGAACCAUCGAGUUUUUGAACGCAAGUUGCGCCCGAGGCCUUCUGGCUAAGGGCACGUCUGCCUGGGCGUCACGC